rnacentral:rRNA from 1 species
GAUGAACGCUGGCGGCGUGCCUAAUACAUGCAAGUCGAGCGAACAGACGAGGAGCUUGCUCCUCUGACGUUAGCGGCGGACGGGUGAGUAACACGUGGAUAACCUACCUAUAAGACUGGGAUAACUUCGGGAAACCGGAGCUAAUACCGGAUAAUAUAUUGAACCGCAUGGUUCAAUAGUGAAAGACGGUUUUGCUGUCACUUAUAGAUGGAUCCGCGCCGCAUUAGCUAGUUGGUAAGGUAACGGCUUACCAAGGCAACGAUGCGUAGCCGACCUGAGAGGGUGAUCGGCCACACUGGAACUGAGACACGGUCCAGACUCCUACGGGAGGCAGCAGUAGGGAAUCUUGCGCAAUGGGCGAAAGCCUGACGGAGCAACGCCGCGUGAGUGAUGAAGGUCUUCGGAUCGUAAAACUCUGUUAUUAGGGAAGAACAAAUGUGUAAGUAACUAUGCACGUAUUGACGGUACCUAAUCAGAAAGCCACGGCUAACUACGUG